GCAAGAUGACCCACCGAAUGAGUUGUUUUGGCCAAAAACGGAAUCCGUGAUUCACUCUAAAGCCCCGGGCACAUGUCAAAGCGAUAAGAUAUGGGAUUCCUUCCAGACUAAUGAGCGAACUGGACCCACUGGCAGCCGCUCUCCAAAUGGCCAAUUCCCGGGGUGAGCAGGCCCAGUUAUCUCGGCCAGAUUGCAUUUAUGUUUGUGCCGGCCGUUAUCUCCUCCGGAUUCUGUCCGUCAGUCACUUGUUAACGGAUAAUUGAAGCUAAUCUCAUGGUCGUUGGCUUUGUGCAUCCUCGGAUCGCGGCCGAGGAACGACCCUUGACCCUGGCCCCCUAACCCCUGUCCAUCCAACAACCCGUGGCAAGCAAACCAUUCGCAGACACGGGGCUUCUUUUCCAACACAAAUAUAUAUUUCCAAUGUUUCUCCUUGAUUUGAAAUCAGUGAACGAACGAAAAGCAUCACACUAAAAUUCUUACAUACUUAAGCACUAACAACAUAUAGACCCUUUACACAGAUUAGAGAUAAAUAUUUCAUUGAAUUUUCAAUUAGUUGUGUUGUCAGAUUACGACGGGCUGCAUAAUCCCAAUGAAUUCGAUUUGGCUUGCACUCACUGCAACUCGAUAACAUUCAUAUUUGAAUAUGAGAUUGUUUUGGAUUGGCACAAUUCGUUUUGGUUUCUCAUUGUUUCAUUGUUCCAUAUGUGGUUUAUGUUCACUGAUAAUCGCCAUCGCCAUCGCCAUCGCCGGAACACUUCUGGUUUUCAAUUGAGCUUCCGCUGCCUCGGAAUUGAAUUGAAUUGAAAUUGCAAUUGCCAAUUAAUUUAUUUGCGAUUUGUUGACCAGUUCGUCACGCUCGCCAACUAUCCACGUUUGCACAAUGCCACUACACACACACACACACACAUGGGCCACAUAUUGCGUAUUUAUGCAGGAUAUAUGGCAGCGGAGGCUUCCUGUUAGCCAACUGCUCUAUUUGCAUGGAACUUAAUUGAAAACAAAAUGAGAAAUAAGAAAAUAAACGCAACGCAAACACCAGCGGCGCUGUGUCCGCGUACAA